rnacentral:tRNA from 1 species
GGGGUUGUGGCUCAGUGGCAGAGCACUUUCCUAGCAUGCAUGAGGCAUUGAGUUCUAUCCUUAGCACCA